rnacentral:lncRNA from 1 species
AUUAGGCAGGAGGAGAUGGAAACGUUAUUGAGCAAGAGCAAAGUAUAGAAGCUUUGAAAAUGAUCCAGUGAAGAGAAUUUUUAAAAAGGGAAAGAUAAUGGUGGGGGAGACAAGGUUUUUGGAGGCUUCUCUUCACUGAUAAGAAGCGGUCUCAGAACACCGGAGAGUCAUGGAAAAUGGGAAACUUCACACCCAGAGGGAGCUGGUGCAACAGAGGAUGGAAAUCUGAGAAACAUUUUGAGAACUCUCCUGUAAGAUUAUUCUGAACAAGGGAGAAUGAAAGAAGCCAAGCUUGCUGUAAAUGUUUACCUCCUAGCAAGAAAACAGAUUUAAAAAGCAAGCAAUUAUGUAAAGCAAAGGUUCAGAUGUCAUGGAAGUCACCUGUAUGAAGGACAUUUACUAAGACUUGGAAAGAUCAGAAGUGAAUUCCUUGAUGUGUUGCUGUGAUUGCAGAUGCAGUAAAGGAAUGAACAUCCCCUUCCUCUCCUCUUGCAUCAUAUAAGCAACUUCCACACAUGUCCUCUGGAUUUAUCAAGUUGGUCCAGAAACUUCUAGUCUGUGAACCGUGUUUAUAAGAAAGAUAGGCCUAAUAUGGCAGUACCAGCAAGGUCUAUUUGAUAAUGGACUAAGGAGAAAUAACACUCGAGAGCAGGAAAGGGAAGAGUUAAAAACAGAGUGAGUGUGACCGCUGGGAAGGCUGUGAUAAGGCGAGUGCUUGCUGGGGGUGCCUGUUGUCACAGAGUCCAGAGGUGCUGACGGAGAUCAAGUCCGUGGAGUCUGAGGAGGCCCAUCCAUGAAACUACAAGCAAACAUAAACUAGUACAGGGAUGUCUACCUGAACCCUCAAAGAGCCAAAAGCAACAUCACUUCAGAAGAAUAAACUGCCUCAUUUGCCAAAAUGAAGGUCCUGUGACCUCUCCCAUUCUGUGGCUGUGUCGCCUAGCAUUGGCCUAAUUUGUCAGGGAAUCUGAUGCAUCCAGGACCCUAACAUCUGAUUUCUGUACCUGUUACCUGUUUCCCUUUGGUGCUCCACCUUAGCUCACAGCUAGGCUCA